CGGUCGAUGGCGUCGGCUACCGAAUUGGCGGAUUCCGUGUGUCCGCGAGAGUGGCCGGAAAACGUGCUCGGAUGACUUACCGCCGUGCGCCGUCCGCUGCGGCCGAUGUCUGUGGACGUCGUCUCAUCGCGCGCACCAGUACACACUACAAACGCAAAGCGGCGCGUUUUACCCGCUUCCGCUCGGACGCCAAACGCCUUCUACGCGGAAGUGGAUUGACGUCGAUCGCUUUUGCGUGCGGAUCAAGCUCACCUGCCAGAACACCGACCGCGUGGGGCACCGGAACGUAGUCCGCGUCGUCGACGUCGACGAGUGACAGCAGUUGGUAGUUUUCUAAGUUGAUCUACUUCACUGCCUUCAAUCGCCGGCGACGUCGAACGGAUGCUCUCCUGUCUGAUCGUUACUCGUACCCGACAGUACGAUAUUUGAUGUAUUACUCGUUCGAAAGCCGUCCGUUUUUCGGGUCCACCGCCGUUGCACUUCCGCGUACAGAAGAAUCCCGUCAACGCCGAUUCCACGACGGGUGCCAAGUGCACGGGGACACCGCCGCCGCCGUCCCCGAUUACGCCGAAAUCGUUUUCGUGUAAGUCGAAGAGGGCUUCACCGAUAUUGUUUAUAUUAUCUGCCAUUGCUAUUAUAUUGAUGUGACUGAUUUGAAUAAAAAUAUAAUAUGAUAAACUACGAUCGGACUAUUGAAAUAUUUGAAAUGCAAAUUAAAUCGAAACAUAAUAUUUCGAGCUAACCAGACGGCUAGGCGACGUGUAUUACAGCGGGAUGGAAGGAUUUUACGAACAACACUAUUUUACAUUAUUAUUAGACAUUAUGAUAUUAUUAUUAGGGUUUUUCCAUUACGUUAUUGACGACUCGUUGGUGACUAUUACGACUAAAUAUAAUAUAUAAAUAUAUAAUGGUUCAGCGGAGUCGCCCGACCGGUCGCUGACCGUAGACGCUCGAAUUCAACACUCGUUCCAGACUUUCAGUGUUUCACAUUUUUGUAUGAUCAUCACCAAUCACGUUAAUUAUAAUAUUUUUUGCGUAGAGCACACUCAGUACUCAGUAGUCCAGACAGUCCAAUAGUGUGUUCAAUCUUCAGACACCAGUGUUGUACCUACUGUUGUGUUAAAUAGUGCACUUAAAUAUAAUGAUAUUAUGAUGUCUACGAAGCAAAUACCGAAGUAACGUAAAUUAAUCAGGUAACACUCAUCUCCAAAAAAUUUAAAAAAAAUAUGUCCCAAUAACAUUUAUUGAAUUGCUGGUGAAGAGUUCGGAUGAUGAAUUGGAUUAUAAACUAGCAUCUGUUACACCACCAGUACAAAUUGCAGCUAGUUCCUCAGUAUCAUCAUUCAUACUUAAUGAAGACAUACACAAGUAUAAUAUGAAAUAUCAUUAUAUCAAUUGGAACAUUUCUAUUUGAUGAGUGAUGACUUGUAUGACUUGGAAGAAUUGUCUUUACACAACAACGGAUUAGUAUUAAUAGAAUGCUACAAUGUAGACUGGGAUGGGCUGGUCAUGUGUGGAGAUCCGGAGGCCCCAUAGGAUUAGCCACAGGCUGGAAGCCGGACACAAGAAGGCCGAGAGGACGACCCAGGCAGCGGUGGAAAGACAGGAUUACAAAAGA